GAAGAACGACUCUCGGCAACGGAUCUCUCGGCUCUCGCAUCGAUGAAGAACGCAGCGAAAUGCGAUACUUGGUGUGAAUUGCAGAAUCCCGUGAACAUCGAGUCUUUGAACGCAAGUUGCGCCCGAAGCCAUCAGGUCGAGGGCACGUCUGCCUGGGCGUCACACGC
rnacentral:rRNA from 2 species